rnacentral:rRNA from 1 species
GACGAACGCUGGCGGCGUGCUUAACACAUGCAAGUCGAACGGAAAGGCCCCCACCUUGGUGGGGGUGCUCGAGUGGCGAACGGGUGAGUAACACGUGGGUGAUCUGCCCUGUACUUCGGGAUAAGCUUGGGAAACUGGGUCUAAUACCGGAUAGGACCAUGGUUUAGUGUCUCAUGGUGGAAAAAUUAUUGUUUUGGUGCAGGAUGAGCUCGCGGCCUAUCAGCUUGUUGGUGGGGUAAUGGCCUACCAAGGCGUCGACGGGUAGCCGGCCUGAGAGGGUGGACGGCCACAUUGGGACUGAGAUACGGCCCAGACUCCUACGGGAGGCAGCAGUGGGGAAUAUUGCACAAGGGGCGCAAGCCUGAUGCAGCGACGCCGCGUGGGGGAUGACGGCCUUCGGGUUGUAAACUCCUUUCGUUAGGGACGAAGCCACACCUUUUUUGGGUGUGGUGACGGUACCUUUGUGAAGAAGCACCGGCUAACUACGUG